rnacentral:rRNA from 1 species
GACGAACGCUGGCGGCGUGCUUAACACAUGCAAGUCGAACGGAAAGGCCCUGCUUUUGUGGGGCGCUCGAGUGGCGAACGGGUGAGUAACACGUGAGUAACCUGCCCUUGACUUUGGGAUAACUUCAGGAAACUGGGGCUAAUACCGGAUAGGAGCUCCUGCUGCAUGGUGGGGGUUAGAAAGUUUCGGCGGUUGGGGAUGGACUCGCGGCUUAUCAGCUUGUUGGUGGGGUAGUGGCUUACCAAGGCUUUGACGGGUAGCCGGCCUGAGAGGGUGACCGGCCACAUUGGGACUGAGAUACGGCCCAGACUCCUACGGGAGGCAGCAGUGGGGAAUAUUGCACAAUGGGCGGAAGCCUGAUGCAGCAACGCCGCGUGCGGGAUGACGGCCUUCGGGUUGUAAACCGCUUUCGCCUGUGACGAAGCGUGAGUGACGGUAAUGGGUAAAGAAGCACCGGCUAACUACGUGCCAGCAGCCGCGGUGAUACGUAGGGUGCGAGCGUUGUCCGGAUUUAUUGGGCGUAAAGGGCUCGUAGGUGGUUGAUCGCGUCGGAAGUGUAAUCUUGGGGCUUAACCCUGAGCGUGCUUUCGAUACGGGUUGACUUGAGGAAGGUAGGGGAGAAAGGAAUUCCUGGUGGAGCGGUGGAAUGCGCAGAUAUCAGGAGGAACACCAGUGGCGAAGGCGGUUCUCUGGGCCUUUCCUGACGCUGAGGAGCGAAAGCGUGGGGAGCGAACAGGCUUAGAUACCCUGGUAGUCCACGCUGUAAACGGUGGGUACUAGGUGUGGGGUCCAUUCCACGGGUUCCGUGCCGUAGCUAACGCUUUAAGUACCCCGCCUGGGGAGUACGGCCGCAAGGCUAAAACUCAAAGGAAUUGACGGGGCCCCGCACAAGCGGCGGAGCAUGCGGAUUAAUUCGAUGCAACGCGUAGAACCUUACCUGGGUUUGACAUGGAUCGGGAGUGCUCAGAGAUGGGUGUGCCUCUUUUGGGGUCGGUUCACAGGUGGUGCAUGCCUGUCGUCAGCUCGUGUCGUGAGAUGUUGGGUUAAGUCCCGCAACGAGCGCAACCCUUGUUCACUGUUGCCAGCACGUUAUGGUGGGGACUCAGUGGAGACCGCCGGGGUCAACUCGGAGGAAGGUGGGGAUGACGUCAAGUCCUCAUGCCCCUUAUGUCCAGGGCUUCACGCAUGCUACAAUGGCUGGUACAGAGAGUGGCGAGCCUGUGAGGGUGAGCGAAUCUCGGAAAGCCGGUCUCAGUUCGGAUUGGGGUCUGCAACUCGACCUCAUGAAGUCGGAGUCGCUAGUAAUCGCAGAUCAGCAACGCUGCGGUGAAUACGUUCCCGGG